rnacentral:rRNA from 1 species
GACGAACGCUGGCGGCGUGCUUAACACAUGCAAGUCGAUCGAAGUGGCGAACGGGUGAGUAACGCGUAAUCAAUCUGCCCUUCAGAGGGGGACAACAGUUGGAAACGACUGCUAAUACUGCAUACUGAAGGAGGGGAAUGCGUGUGAUUAGCUAGUUGGAGGGGUAAAGGCCCACCAAGGCGAUGAGAAGUCGACGGUCUUAGAGGAUGAACGGCCACAUUGGGACUGUGACACGGCCCAGACUCCUACGGGAGGCAGCAGUGGGGAAUCUUCCGCAAUGGACGAAAGUCUGACGGAGCAACGCCGCGUGAGUGAUGACGGCCUUCGGGUUGUAAAGCUCUGUUAAUCGGGACGCGGUACCGGAAUAGAAAGCCACGGCUAACUACGUGCCAGCAGCCGCGGUAAUUC